rnacentral:rRNA from 1 species
UGAAACUGCGAAUGGCUCAUUAAAUCAGUUAUCGUUUAUUUGAUAGUACCUUACUACUUGGAUAACCGUGGUAAUUCUAGAGCUAAUACAUGCUAAAAACCUCGACUUCGGAAGGGGUGUAUUUAUUAGAUAAAAAACCAAUGCCCUUCGGGGCUUCUUGGUGAUUCAUAAUAACUUAACGAAUCGCAUGGCCUUGUGCCGGCGAUGGUUCAUUCAAAUUUCUGCCCUAUCAACUUUCAAUCGUAACGUAGUGGGCUACGAUGGUUUCAACGGGUAACGGGGAAUUAGGGUUCUAUUCCGGAGAGGGAGCCUGAGAAACGGCUACCACAUCCAAGGAAGGCAGCAGGCGCGCAAAUUACCCAAUCCCGACACGGGGAGGUAGUGACAAUAAAUACUG